rnacentral:rRNA from 1 species
CUACGGGCGGCUCCAGUGGGGAAUAUUGCGCAAUGGGGGAAACCCUGACGCAGCGACGCCGCGUGGGUGAUGAAGGCCUUCGGGUCGUAAAGCCCUGUCGGAGAGGGACGAAAAACUAAUGGGAACAAUACCCUGUUAGCCUGACGGUACCUCUCCAGAAAGCACCGGCUAACUCCGUGCCAGCAGCCGCGGUAAGACGGAGGGUGCCAACGUUGCUCGGAAUCACUGGGCGUAAAGCGCGUGUAGGCGGAUCGAAAAGCGAGAUGUGAAAGCCCUCGGCUCAACCGAGGAAGUGCAUUUCGAACUGUCGAUCUUGAGUGCGGUAGAGGGAGGUAGAAUUCCCGGUGUAGAGGUGAAAUUCGUAGAUAUCGGGAGGAAUACCAGUGGCGAAGGCGGCCUCCUGGGCCGACACUGACGCUGAGACGCGAAAGCGUGGGGAGCAAACAGGAUUAGAUACCCGAGUAGUC